CUCUAGGUUGUGAUAAAAAUAAGGAUGCUGAAGUCGCAUACAGUUCUCGUGUCUAUAAAGUAGAUUUCCGGGGGAAAAAGUUUCCGUUAAAGCAAACAAAUUCAACUAUAGUCGUAUUUAUACGUUUUUUUUCUUCUGACAGUUGAACCUAGAUUUAUGAUGAUUACCACCAAUCUAGCUUCCCAUGACAAGUCUUACAGCAUGGACUGUAUUAUGUUCAAGUGGUAUUGCAUUUGUGUCUUUCUCUAUCUGUGCUUCAUCCUAUUCAAGCUUGCGACAGCCAUGCUGACGAGAAGACAAUAGUUGAGAGAAAGUAAUGCAGCAUUUGUUCAGUGAUUUGACUAGCAAUCAUCCAGGGAUGCCUUUGAUUAUACCAUCAAUCAUGUGGACGAAACCGAUUUCCAUUGCCAAUGAUAUCUACUACCAUCAGUUAUUCCAACACUACAGAUUAUGCUACCAAUCAUCCUGUUUCUAAUAUCACCUCCAAUAUAUUGAUUUCACUGUCAUUGUUCACUAUGACAAUGUUCUCGUUAUAGAUCAAAUUAUGUACUAGUAAAAUUAGUUUUGUGCACACAUGUAUGCACCAACAUCAAUAAACAAAUUUGUAUCUUU
rnacentral:sRNA from 1 species